rnacentral:lncRNA from 1 species
GAUUUGUCAGCCUGGCACCACUGUGCCAUCUGGCUGGUCUCUUCCAAAUGCAAAUUUUUAUUCUGCCCGGUUUUUGCAUGUAAUGUUAACUCGGAAAGAGCUGCUGUAGUCACCACCCCUCGCUCACCUGUGGCUCCUCAUCCACUUUUCUCCUGGAAGGUUUCCAGUGACUCUCACAAUCCUUCACGCACAAUAAACUAGACUGCAAAGGCUGACUUCAUCUCUCUUAGCUUGCCAGAGUCUCUGCCCUCUUCCUCCCCCUACUGGCUAGACAUGGGUGUUGUGAAGCCAAACUGCUGCCUUAGGAGUAGCAGGGCCAUGGGUAGAAGCUGAGUCCUUGGCUUAGCGUCAUCGCGAGUGCUUAAACGUUGGCUGCUGUGGAAGAAAGAGGGAGAAAACAGCCUUGCCAAGUCCCCCCCCAGAACAAGGACACAGAACUAAAGUUGCUCUGUUUCUCAGGGCCUCUGAGGAAGGCUUGGUUCUCUGGCUCCGCACACUAAUAAUUCACUAAAGCUGAUUCCCUUUGGACUUCCAGAGUUAGACUGCAUUUCCCAUCCUCCUUUGCAGCUGUGUGUAACCUCUGAACCAAGGCCUGUGUCGUAGGAGCAGAUACUUUGUGUCCAACAUCCGGAACUCUGAUCUACUGCCACUGAUUGACAGAUACUGAGAUCAGCAGGUGGGAAAAGUGAGAUUUCCGGGAGAACAAACACAACUGAAGCAUACAAAAGACAUAUUUGUGCCUUAAAGAAAACGCUUGAUAUCUGGAGUGGUGGCCCAGCUGUUAAGAGCAUUUGUAGUAAUUCCGAAUUCAUUCGCAGCGACCGCAUCAUACAUAUGGCUGUACCUCCUAUGGGUCCAACCCUCUCUUCUAGCCUCCGUGGGCUCCUGCACUUACAUGGCAUGCAAAUAAAAAUGUAAGUCUUUU